rnacentral:hammerhead_ribozyme from 1 species
AUCCAGACGACGAGUCCCAAUAGGACGGAAUACUCAUCCUGGAU